rnacentral:rRNA from 1 species
UACGAAGGGGGCUAGCGUUGUUCGGAAUACUGGGCGUAAAGCGUGCGCAGGCGGUUCUCCAAGUCCGUUGUGAAAGCCCCGGGCUCAACCUGGGAACGGCGCGCGAAACGGGGGGGCUGGAGUUCGGGAGAGGAGCGUGGAAUUCCCAGUGUAGAGGUGAAAUUCGUAGAUAUUGGGAAGAACACCGGUGGCGAAGGCGGCGCUCUGGACCGAGACUGACGCUGAGGCGCGAAAGCGUGGGGAGCAAACAGG